rnacentral:sRNA from 1 species
AGACAAUCCCCGGUGGAAAAUGUGGUGACCAGGUCCUCUCCUUCACCAUUACCGGUGUCUUUAACCUUGUCACCGACAUCUUGGUGUUGUGCCUCCCCUUACCAUUCCUGGCUAAACUGCAGAUGCAGUUGUAUAAAAAGCUGGUCCUGAUUGGCGUGUUCAGCAUUGGUCUUCUAACCUGCGUCGUCAGUGCUGUCCGCAUCCACACACUCUCCUCCAUGGACUUCGC